rnacentral:rRNA from 2 species
UUGACCUCGGAUCAGGUAGGAUUACCCGCUGAACUUAAGCAUAUCAAUAAGCGGAGGAAAAGAAACCAACAGGGAUUGCCUCAGUAACGGCGAGUGAAGCGGCAACAGCUCAGAUUUGGAAUCUGGUCCUUUGGGGCCCGAGUUGUAAUCUGGAGAGGAUGCUUCUGGCGCGGCGCCGUCCGAGUUCCCUGGAACGGGACGCCGGAGAGGGUGAGAGCCCCGUACGGUCGGACGCCUAGCCUGUGUGAAGCUCCUUCGACGAGUCGAGUAGUUUGGGAAUGCUGCUCAAAAUGGGAGGUAAAUUUCUUCUAAAGCUAAAUACCGGCCAGAGACCGAUAGCGCACAAGUAGAGUGAUCGAAAGAUGAAAAGCACUUUGAAAAGAGGGUCAAACAGUACGUGAAAUUGUUGAAAGGGAAGCGCCCGUGGCCAGACUUGUGCCCGGCAGACCAUCCGGCGCCCCCGCGCCGGUGCACUCUGCCGGGCGCAGGCCAGCAUCGGUUUUCCUAGGGGGAUAAAGGCGGCGGGAACGUGGCUCCCUCGGGAGCGUUAUAGCCCGCCGUGUCAUGCCUCUGGGGGGACCGAGGACCGCGCAUUUAUGCAAGGAUGC